rnacentral:rRNA from 1 species
CCUACGGGCGGCAGCAGUGAGGAAUCUUGGUCAAUGGGCGCGAGCCUGAACCAGCCAAGUCGCGUGAGGGAAGACGGUCCUAUGGAUUGUAAACCUCUUUUGUCGGGGAGCAAAAGACGCACCGCGUGGCGUUCCGAGAGUACCCGAAGCAAACGCAUCGGCUAACUCCGUGCCAGCAGCCGCGGUAAUACGGAGGAUGCGAGCGUUAUCCGGAUUUAGUGGGUUUAAAGGGUGCGCAGGCGGAAGAUGAAGUCAGCGGUAAAAUUGAGAGGCUUAACCUCUUCGAGCCGUUGAAACUGGUUUUCUUGAGUGAGUGAGAAGUAUGCGGAAUGCGUGGUGUAGCGGUGAAAUGCAUAGAUAUCACGCAGAACUCCGAUUGCGAAGGCAGCAUACCGGCGCUCAACUGACGCUCAUGCACGAAAGUGUGGGUAUCGAACAGGAUUAGAUACCCUUGUAGUC